rnacentral:rRNA from 1 species
AGGGUGUAAACGCUGCAGACUUGGUGUUGGAGGCCCUUUGGGGGCAUUCAGUGCCGGAGAGAAGUUGUUAAGUCUGCUACUUGGGGAGUACGUCCGCAAGGAUGAAACUUAAAGGAAUUGGCGGGGGAGCACCGCAACGGGAGGAGCGUGCGGUUUAAUUGGAUUCAACACCGUAAAACUCACCAGGGAAGACUGUUACAUGAAGGCCGAGGUGAAGACUCUGCUAGAUUUUCAGAGAGGAGGUGCAUGGCGUCAGUGACU